AAACCAAUCCAGCUUGCUGGGUCUUGGGCCUUUUCGCCUCUGGGCGGGCCUCAAAAUCAGUGGCGGUGCUAUCUAGCUCUAAGCGUAGUAAUAUUUCUCGCUAUAGACACUAGGUGGUUACUUGCCAAUAACCCCUUAUUUUUCAAA
rnacentral:misc_RNA from 1 species